UUAUUAAAAUAUUUUUUAUAAAAAUUUACAAUUAAGAUAAUUGUGAAACAGAAAGACAAGACCCACCCCACCCCCUUUCUCUCACUCUCUCUGAGAAACCCAACCCUAAAUCCAGCCACCAUUACCAUCCUUCAUCGCCACCGUUUCCUGUAAUGGAAAGAUCCGCCACCGGUCACCAUCCUCCACCGAGCUCCUCGACGGCCAUACUGCCACCUCGCCAUCGUCUUCCUCCGUGGAGCUGCCAGAACUCAGAUUCGGAAGAAUGCUGUUGCGAUUGACGCACGAGUUGCCCUCCGACAAGACUUACCAGCUCCGCCGAGCGCUGAUGAUGGUGGCGGUUCCUUUGGUACUCAUCACGAUUGUGCUUUACGUGUUGCCUUCCAUUUCCUCCAACGAGUCCAUCGAAGACUACACCCUCACGCACCGCAGGAUUUCACCCGAUAACAGAGCCUCUAGCUUCUACGCCGUCUUCUUCGAUGUUGGCAGCCACAUUCACAUUCCACGUCGAUCGCAAUCUCGACCUUAUUCACAUUGGCAAAGAUCUCGAGCUAUUCAUUCAGAAUAGAGUUCAAAGCUCUUUGUUCAUUGGAGAUUGAUGAGAUUGUAAGAAAUUUAAGUAAGUAUAGAGAUAGCAGUUAAAACUCAGAUUCCUAUAAUCAGUUCAAAGCUCUUUGUUCAUUCUGGCUAGGUUCAAACUCUGCUGGCAUCUGAUAAUGCAGAACUGAAGGGGAUCAUGAAAUCACUUGUUGUGAUUGCUCGAAAUCAGGGCUGGAAGCAGCUGUUCUCAGGGCUCAGCAUCAAUUACAUAAAGGUUGUUUCAUCAGUGGCAAUUGGGUUUACUGUUUAUGAUACCAUGAAAUCAUACCUGAGAGUUCCAUCAAGAGAUGAUGCUGCAGUUGAAGUGGUAACCAAUAACAGAAUCAGCCAACCAUCAUCGCAGACACAGUAACAGCAACAGAUGAUGCUACCUUUCAGAAUUUUGCCUCUCUAACUCUUCAAUUCAUAGGCUUCAAAAAGGUUUCUUGGCCUCAUCCUAUUCACAUUUUUUAGCACCACAUGCCGUUCUUUCAAGUUGUACAUUGUGAGAUGGAGAUUAUGUUCCAUCAUAAACAGGAUACAGCAUGCAUUUCUCUACAGAUUGCAAGGGAAUGAAUGAUCCCUUCUGGCAGUUCUAAAAAGCUGCUGUUGAUUUUUCUUUCUUGUUGGUACUUGGUUCCAUCUAAAUUUAAUGCAUAUUGUGGCAAGAAACAAUGUUCAUUCAAGAUAAGUUGAUAUAAUGGAUCAAAUUUCAAAUGUUUCGUAUGUGACAUUUGUCUUUGCCUUUCUACAUUGAUAUGACUGGAAUUAAAAGAAAAUUGAAUUUUGAAACCUGAGAUUGAUAAAGCAGCUAUGAUCAUUGCAGAAGAGGAUGCUCAAUAGACUGCAAACACUAUUUGGUUGGAACAUACAUUUUAUAUUGCCAUAAAAUAACAUUUUAUAUUGAUUAGGUCACUUUUUGUUUAGGCAAAACAGAGGAUGUAUGGACUGACAAAGUGGUUGAGUCAGCUACAAAGGUAGUUGGUUCCUUCUUGUGUGAGAAUGGAAGCUUGUCAUCCACUUGUGGCAUGUCAAAUGACACCAAGUGAAAAUUAAUCAAAGGGACCUCUGGACUCAAUACAUAUGCAAGGCCUGUGGAGACAGGGUGCUAAGAGAAUUACAUGAAUGGGAACAACACAAAAAGGGUUAUGGCCACGGGAAAUGUAUUUCUAGUCUCAAGAGCAAGGCACAAAAUCUUGGUACCUUGGACAAAAUGUUUAAUUACUAUGAAUGCAAAUAGUUUUAUGUAUUGUACUUUGCAACCUGCUCCAGUUUUGAAACAUAUUCAUAGUAAUAUUACCACUGAAUGACUAAUAGCAUUUCAGUAUGUUUCUUUUUGUUUCAUUUGUCAAGACCAUCGCAAAAAUCUAAAGAAAAUACACACGACUCAUUGAUUUUGUUCAUAAUCACCUACGAAUGAGAUAUUGAGAUUUGUGGUUCUUGUUUACUUUAUCCUUUCAUUGUUUUCAUAAACAAAAUGAUAAGCAGCACGUGCAUGUUCGAAACAUUGACUAUUGAGGGUACCACUGUACCAGUCUUUCAGUACCUUGUCUUGUGAACUCAAAUUAUUAUGAACAAUGCACUUAUUCUCCUUAUACAUAACAAUAAUAAUUGUUGGAAAAAAUUAUUGAGAUUCUAAAAAAAAAAGAUAGUUCCUGACUUCUAAGAAAAUGAGUAUAAUAUAACUAAACAAAGUUUUAAGAUUUUAGCGGCAAUAGUAAUGGGCAGUAAAAGUGAAUAACAUUACAAUUUUAAAAUUAUUUUUAGUGGUCAUAUAAAUUGCCGGUAAAAUAGUUUUUGGCGGCAAUAGUAAUGGCCGCUAAAAAUGAAUAACAUUGCAAUUUUAGAAUUACCUUUGGUGACCAUAUAAAUUGCCAAAAAAAUGGCCGCUAAAAAUUAUAUACUUUUUGCGGCCAUUAAAAAAGUCUUUACCGGCAAAUGUUAUAAUUGCCGCUAAAACCUUUUAGCGGCAAAGCAUAAGACGGCUAAUGUCUAUUUGCCGGUAAAUUUAG